CUUAAAGUGGCCACCACAUUUCUUUUGUUCCUGACCUUCUCCCAUUGGGAAGAUGAGCAAGAGCUAGAGCUAGAAGGGCAAUUGAAGUGUGAACAUACCAGGAAAGCUCAGGGAAAGUGGUUCCCGAAACCAUCUUUCCCAUAGCUUGUCUCUUGGGAUGGGCUUUUCCACAGUGACGUGAUUCAGUGUGAUUGCAUGCUUAUGUGUUUACAACCAGCAGGCACAGGGCUGCCACUGACUACACGAUGAUGGGAGGAUGGACGCCGCCUUCAGGAGCUGGAGGAGCAGAAGACGUGAACAAAGUGGAGAUGAAGAGAGUCCUUCCAUCCAUCUGCUGGACCUGCUGGGCCUCAGGGCUUUCUCUGAAGUGGUAGGGGGAAGAUGUCACAGAGGAAAUGUAAAGAAAAGUCUACCUCGGCAGUCUACAGCGUGGUGGAUAAAAAAAGAGCAGGAAGAGUCUGGCGAGGCGAUCAGCCUGAUGUAGUACCUGAGGAAGGCAAGAAAGGAUAUAAAGAAAAUAAGAAACAACACUUUCUCUGCACAUCCAAAUUGUGGCAAGGAUUUUUGCAGAUUGCCACCAGUUCACUGAGAGGAGUCAUUGAAAACAUGGCAUUGAGGACAGAGACUGCCACUUCAGAAUUUUCUACAUCCAACUGCUGAAGCCACUCGAAGAUAUUUCCCUCAGAGAACCAUAACCAGCUUUGGAGAAGAUGCUUCCACAUAGCUUGUUUCACAGCAUCUCAUCUCUCAUUAAAACCUUGUUGAGGGAGCAUUACUGUCUGAGCAAUGGACAUAGCUCUCAUACGAACCUUUUCAGCUAACACCGGAUAAGCCAGCUUUCUGACAGCCUCUUUCACAUCCUUGGUGCACCCUACAAUUUUUGGCAAAGUCUUUGCUGAUGGUGCAAUACAUGAUAA
rnacentral:lncRNA from 1 species